GUGAGACUGUGAAUUCUUCAAAAGCAGGUACUGUGUUUAAUGAAGUGUGCCCAGGACUUUGCUCAGUGACUGGAUGACACAGUAGGAGUAACAAGAAAGUUCACAUGGGUGAACCGUGAAGCAUUUUCUAAAACAAGGUGCAGCAAUCAGUUGAGUGAAUUUGUCACCAGAGCUUAUGUUUUCUGAAAGAACCCUAUCCUCAGGCAGUUGUUCCUAAGAGGUCAGGCUGCAUUUGUAUCCUGGGUCCACAAGACAUCGUUUCCUUAAAACCAAUCCCCCUGAUUUUGCUAAGGACCCCACUGGAAAUCGGACUGUUCAACUCACCUGGCAGCCACUCACAGAGCCCGUGGAACUCUGGCCCAAGGCUCUCUGACUCCUUCUCGGCUUAGCGGCUAAAGACUGACACUGCCCGAUCGCCUCGGAAGCCCCGUAGACCAUCACGGACGCCGAGCUUUAGAUGAAGAAACUGAGGUCCAGAGAAGUUAAACGACCUUCCUAAGAUUACACAGCUUAGUAAGUGGCAGAACCACAGCUGGAAGCCAGGUCCUUCCUCACGCAAGUCCUGGCUCAUUCAUUCCUCUUCCAAAGACUUGCUGAGCACCUUCUAGGUGCCAGAUGCGGUGCUGGCUCCUGGGGACAUGGGAGUGAACAGGCCAGGCGUGGCCCUGAACCAUCAAAUAGACAACCACAGAAAUAACAACGAAUGAUGCUGGAGGCUGACGAAGAUAAGGGUGGAAAGUGGGCAAUAAAUCAGGAGCUGUUGCAACAUUCCCAGCAAAGGAUAAUGGUGAAUAACAAAGACAAAACCGGGCCCUUCCACACAGUAGCUGGAACACAAAGGAAGAUCAGCCAAGCCUCAACAUAAUCUCAUAAAAAUUCUUCAAAUAUCCCAUUGUUAUGGAUUCAUACAUCAGGAAAGCAGAUGCCAAGAACCUGAACACCUUCUACUGGUAACAUAUAUUUUGGCGAGCCAGCCUGGAGACAAGACCACUAUGGGCAACUUCCUGUCUAUUCUACCUGGUGUCACUGUGGACAACUUCCUAUCUAUUCCACCCGAUUCACCGCUUGGCUACAUCCUCCACCAUUGGGAUGAAUUUGACCCUAACAAUCUAAAGAAAAGGCAUAUGAUUUUUUACUGCAAUAUUGUUUGACACAAUUAUGAGCUGCCCAAUCCGGAACAAUGGGCAGUCAAUGGUAGCCUUAAUUAUGAUACCAUCCUGUAUCUAGACCUAUUUUACAAGAGGCAGGGCAAAUGGUCAGAAGUCCCACAUAUACAGGCCUACAUGACCCUAUACGAAGACCUAAGAAUCUAGGAAACUCCCAGAACCCAUCCCCCGAAGGAAAGUUCUGGGGCAGAACUAGAUAUUAUAGAUGAACCCCCUUUUACAAGGGAUACCUGUCUCUCAGAGUGAGCAGUGACUGUCCCCAUAUAACCCCUCACCAAGUGCUCCUGAGGCUGAAACCCAGGGGCAAACAUGGGGAACCCUACUAAGUCCCCCUCACACUUGGAGGGGAACACUGUAUUCAACUCUCUAUCCAGCCCUGCUACUCUCAGAGAAAUAGCAGGGGCUGAGGGGCCAAUCCUAGUGUGGGUCCCCUUCUCUAUGAUUGAUAUACAACAAUGUAAGGAAAAGCUAGGAAGCUAUUCUGAGGAUUCCGGGAAGUUUGCAGAUGGGUUCCAAACUUUGACCUUAGCCUUUGAUCUCUCAUGGAGAGACGUUCAAUUCACUCUAGCAACCUGUUGCACCUCCUCGGAAAAGGAACGAAUCUUUGAGGCUGCCCUCCGAGAAGUGGACGAAUUAUUCACCCAAAACCGUAAAGGCAGUCACCCAGGCCCAGCCACAGUUCCCACUACGCAUCCUAAUUGAGACCAAGACACCCCCGCAGGAAGGAACAACUGGGCUAAAUUUCUUGAGGCUCUUGGAGGAAUGAGAAAGGGAAUAACUAAGGCAGUAAAUUAUGAUAAAGUAAGGCAGAUUACACAAGGCAGGGAGGAAAACCCAGCUGUGUUUUACGGCAGGCUGCGGGAAGCCUUUAAAAAAUAUAUACUAAUUUGGUCCCUUCCUCUCCUGAAGGCAAGUUAUUAAUGGCACAACGUUUCAUUAGCCAAUCCACACCAGACAUUAGACGUAAGCUCCAAAAGCUACACAUGGGGCCACAAACUAACCAAAAUCAGCUUCUUGGUACUGCCUUCAUGGUGUAUAACAAUCGUGACCUGGAGGAAGGAGAAGGGAAACAGAGUAAAGAAAAACGGCAAGCCAAAAUUAUGUUAGCCAUCACUGGUGAUGCCCUAAAUGCACAAAGAUUGUCCAAGGGAAACUCAAAGGGCCAUAAGGAUAAUGCCAGCAAAGGCUCUUGCUUCAAAUGCAAUAAAAGUGCGAUUGGGCACAGGAAUCCACUAAGCCCCCGCCAGUCCCCUGCCGUCAAUGUAAAAGCACCAGUUGUGGCUCCUGGCCCUGGAGAAUUGACUGUCCCUGCUCCCACCAAGGGGCUCAGUCAGUCAAAACUCUGGCAGUGCACAAGGAGGAAUCAGAUGAAGACUGAAGGGGCCUGGGGCCUUCCUCACUGCCCCGUCUAGGAACAUUGUAAUUACUACUGAGGAACCCUGGGUAACUCUGGACAUCAUGGCCACCCAAAUUCAGUUUUUAUGUGAUACCAAGGUGAAUUAUUCUGUACAACUGCUUAUGCAGGAAAACUUUCCUCCCGGUCCAUGAGUGAUAUUGGAUGGAAGGGAAGCCACAAACAAGAUUCUUACUCCUCCUUUGGUUUGUCAAUUUGAGAAACAAAUCUUCCAACAGGAAUUUUUAGUAGUACCAAGCUGCCCAAUUCCCCUGUGGGAAAGAGAUAUUAUGGUGAAAAUAGUGACACUACUGCAAUUUAAGCAAUAUUAGCAGGUGAAACUGCUAAUAGUAAGAAAUAAGGCAAUGUCCCAGACCAUGUCAAUAAACAGGUUAACCCACUGGCAUGGUAUACUGGAAACCCAGGGAAGGCUAAAACAGCAGUGCCAGUCAAAAUACAGCUUAAAGACCCCAGCCAUUUUCCCAAUGGAAAACAAUACCCAGUUGAACAGGAAGCAAGCAAAGGUCUAGCUCCCAUAGUUGAGAUAUUACUUACCCAUGGACUCUUAAAACCCUGCAAUUCUCCCUGCAAUACCCCCAUCUUACCUGUUCUCAAGCCUGGGGGGAAUACCAGCUAGUACAGAACCUCAGAAUAAUGAAUGAGGCUGUUAUCCCCGUCCACCCAUUGGUGGCAGAUCCAUAUGCCCUCCUGGCUCAGGUGCCAGGGCAUGCAAAAUGGUUCUCAGUCCUAGACCUUUCUUCUCCAUUCCUCUGGCCCCGAGCCCCCCAGUACCUUUUUGCUUUCGAAUGGGAAAAUCCUAAUACCAGAUAAAAACAAUACACUUGGACAGUGCUUCCUCAGGGCUUUCGGGAUAGCCCCCACUUCUUUGCCUGAGCAUUAGAGCGGGAUCUGAGGGAUUUCAAGUUAGAAAAUGGAGGUAUUCUUCAGUAUGGGGAUGACCUUGUGUGUAGCCCAACCUAGGAGGUUUCUGACCAAAAUACUAUAAAAACUUUGAAUUUCCUGGCAGACAGAGGAUACAAAGUGUCCAAAAAGAAGGCUCAGAUUACCCUCCAAUGGGUCCACUAUUUAGGAUAUGUCUUAACACCCGGAACCCGGCAAAUAUCCCCAGAAGGAGUGCAAGCUAUAUGUGGUUUGGCCGCGUGCACCACCCCCAGCCCCCACCCUGACCCACCUCCAAGCAGCAGCUUUGUUCCUUUUUGGGGAUGGCCGGGCUUUGGAGAAUAUGAGUACCAAAUUUUGGGCUCAUAGCAAAGCCCCUAUAUGAAGCAACAAGGGGGCCUGAAAAUGAGCUAAUGGAAUGGACCCCGGAAAUGAGGAAAGCCUUUGCCAAGUUAAAACAGGUUCUCACCCAGGCUCCUGCUCUUGGUAUCCCAGACCUAAUUAAGGCCUUCUCCUUGUAUGUAGCAGAGAAGAGGGGCAUAGCUGUGGGAGUGCUAGCCCAGAAAUUAGGAUCAGAACCCAGACCAACCGCCUACUUCUCAAAAAAGUUGGACGGAGUGGCCUCAGGAUGGCCAAGUUGCCUGCGGGCAAUAGCAGCCACUGCUGUUAGUGGAGGAAGCCACUAAAAUCACCCUAGGGCAACCACUGGAAGUUCUAACGCUCCAUCAGGUAAAGUUAGUCUUAGAAAUAAAGGGACACAUCUGGAUGACAGGGGAAAUGUUAACUAAAUACCAGCCCAUGCUCCUAGACAAUCCAGAUAUAACUCUUAAAACCUGCAACACUUUAAAUCCAGCUUCAUUGCUGCCCACAGGCCCAAUAAUUGAUCAUUCCUGUGAGCAGGUCAUUGCACAUACAUAUGUUAGCCAGCCUGAUUUAAAAGAUGAGGCUCUCCCAGAUUCUGAAGCUGACCGGCUCACAGACGGCAGUAGUUCUUUGUCGAAUGGGGAGCACAGAGCUGGAUAUGCAGCAGUAAAUCAUGACACAAUUAUUGAAGCCCAGCCAGUGCCCCCUGGCACAUCAGCACAAAAGGCUAAAAUCAUUGAUCUUACUCAAGCAUUAAUGUUGGGACAAGGGAAAAAACUUAACAUCUAUACAGAUUCUAAAUAUGCAUUCCUUGUGGUUCAUGCUCAUACCGCCAUCAGGAAAGAAAGGGGAUUACUUACUAGCAAGCACUCCCCUAUAGAGCAUGGACCUGAAAUUCUGCAGCUAUUGAAGGCAAUACACCUGCCAAAGGCCAUAGCUAUCAUUCAUUGUAGGGGGCAUCAAAGGGACUUAACCCCUAUAGCACAAGGGAAUGGAAAGGCUGACGGAAGCCAAAGCAAAAGCCCUCAGCGUGCAAUCCCAACAGAUCCUAGCACUGCUUCCUUUCUACAAUUCCCCAGUAGAACCCAAAUACACACCACAGGAAGAACAGCUAAUAAAAAAAGCAAGGGAGACAAAAACAAGGAUCCUGGUGGCAUAUGGAGCCAAAAAUAUAUCUCCCUCAGGCAGCCCAGUGGAGAGUUAUAAAAGCCCUGCAUGACUCUUUCCAUGUGGGGAGGGAUGCGGCUCUGGCCAUGGUAAACAAGUUCUUUACUGGGUUUAACUCAGCUUCAAUGGCUAAGCAGGUCUGUCAAGCCUGCUCACUGUGUGCAUUUAACAAUCCAGGCAUCAAAAUGCCCCCUCUAAUAAAACCAGUCCAAAGGAGGGGAACUUAUCCAGGGGAAGACUGGCAGUUAGACGUCAUCCAUAUGCCAGCUUGCAGAGGAUACAAGCUUUUGUUAAUACUAAUAGAUACUUUUAGGUUGGGUCAAAGGUUACCCCAGAAAAGGCUAAUGAGGUUCUAAGGUCCUCUUAAAAGAAAUAAUUCCCCAGUUUGGGUUACCUCAGGGUCUCCAAAGUGAUAAUGGCUAAUCCUUUAUCUCCCAAAUAACUCAAGGGGUUGCUAAGGCUCUUGGAAUAAAAUACUAUUUACAUUCAGCCUGGAGGCCCCAAUCCUCUGGAAAAGUGGAAAGGGUUAACCAAACUCUAAAAUAAGCACUAGCUAAACUAUGUCAGGAAACAUCAGAAACUUGGGUUAGCUUAUUGCUCACAGCCCUUUUAAGAAUUUGUAAUACCCCUAGCUCAAAAAUUAACAGAAGCCCAUAUAAAAUGUUAUACAGAAGGCCAUUCUUAACUAAUGAUUUAAUUAUUGACCCAGAAAGAGUUGGUGUAAUUAAAUACCUAGUCAACCCAGAACAAUUCCAGCGGGUUUACAAGAGUUUGGAAUUCAAAGGCUCCUCACACUUGGAACUAACCAGCAACCCAAAAUCAGGCCAGGAGAUAGGGUACUUGUUAAAACAUGGAAUGAGGGAUCACCUGCCCAACAAUUACAACCCCAAUAGAAGGGACUUUUUUCAGUAAUACUGGCCACGUCUUCUGUGGUCAAAGUACUAGUAUUAGAUAGCUGGAUACAUCUUUCAAGGAUCAAACCAUCAAUACCAGAAGCUCCAGACCAGGAACCUGAAGUUCCCAUCAGCCAGUACACCUGUGAACCAGUGGAGGACCUGAAGUACCUGUUUAAAAGAUAGCCAAAAGAUAAGUAAAUGCCUACCAACUUUCUUUGGUGUCUUUGUUGCAUAGUUACUGUGGGCUGGAAAAUAGUAGCCAUUUUUAUCUUUGCAGUUUAAUUGCCUUCUUCCAAAUAGAUAAAAAUCACUUCCUUUGUAAUAAUUAAACAGAAUUUAAAAAAUACAUUUCUAUGACAAAUAUUCCUGAUGGCAUAAGUAUCCACCCCAAGGUUCCCAUUAAAUCUUUUAACCUAAAGUAUUUCCUCUCACCUAGAGAUCAUCGAGCUGUGUGACAAGGGUGCCAGCCACUCCAGGUGAAGACACCACCCCAGGCCAUCAAGGAUCUUCCCUACCUUCACUAAACAGAGCAGGGUGAAAGUUGUGUGAUCCCCAAUAGGUAGGGACUACACCCCAAGUCAGCAGGAAGCAGUUACAGAAGAAAGACCAUUGGUCCCUCUGCUUCCCAUAAAGAUUUAUGGGGAUCACAGCUUUCACGGGGGAGAUGAGGCAAGAGAAUAGGGCAUGCAGGCAGGGUACUUGAGGCCAAUCCACGCUGACUUCCUAGAACUGAAUUAAAUGAAAGCUCCUCAGCAAUGACAGGAAUGUGAAUGGCUUUGUAACUUCUUCCUCUCCAUUAAUGCUAUUUCCACUUUGUAACUUCACUUUCAUCCUCUCCAUUUACAUAGAUCACACACCAAGUAACAUCCUCUCCAUUUACAGUAGGGCGCAUUCCGAGUCAAUGACUCUGACUGCACUUCGUUCUCCUCAUUUACAUAGAACAUUCGCCAAGUAACCAAUGGGAAACCUCUAGAGUAUUGAAACUCCAGAAAAUUCCGUAAGUGGGGCUCUUGAGCGUCUACACUCGGGUCGCUCCCACACUGUGGCGUGUACUUUUAUUCUCAAUAAAUUCCCGCUUUUGCUUUCCUCGUUC
rnacentral:lncRNA from 1 species